AGCGCAUACGGUGGAUGCCUAGGCGAUAAGAGGCGAUGAAGGACGUGGUAGUCUGCGAUAAGCCCUGGUAAGCUGACAAACUAGCUUUGACCCAGGGAUUUCCGAAUGGGGAAACCCAACCGCUUCGGCGGUUAUCGCGCGCUGAAUACAUAGGCGCGUGAAGCGAACCCGGGGAACUGAAACAUCUAAGUACCCGGAGGAAAAGAAAUCAACCGAGAUUCCCUUAGUAGCGGCGAGCGAACGGGGAGUAGCCCUUAAGCUUUGCAAUCUCUAGUGGAACGCUCUGGAAAGUGCGGCCAUAGAAGGUGACAGUCCCGUACACGAAAGGGCUUGCAAAGUGAAAUCGAGUAGGGCGGAGCACGAGAAACUCUGUCUGAACAUGGGGGGACCAUCCUCCAAGGCUAAAUACUACUUAUCGACCGAUAGUGAACCAGUACCGUGAGGGAAAGGCGAAAAGAACCCCUGUUAGGGGAGUGAAAUAGAACCUGAAACCGUAUGUGUACAAGCAGUGGAAGCCCUAUCCGGCGGCUUGCCGGUGGAUAAGGCGACUGCGUACCUUUUGUAUAAUGGGUCAGCGACUUAAUUUUAGUAGCAAGGUUAACCGUAUAGGGGAGCCGUAGCGAAAGCGAGUCUUAACAGGGCGUGUCUUUAAUUAGACGAUAGUUGCUAGGAUUAGACCCGAAACCGGGCGAUCUAGCCAUGGCCAGGUUGAAGGUCGGGUAAUACCGACUGGAGGACCGAACCAACUUAUGUUGAAAAAUGAGUGGAUGAGCUGUGGUUAGGAGUGAAAGGCUAAACAAGCCCGGAGAUAGCUGGUUCUCCCCGAAAACUAUUUAGGUAGUGCCUCGUGUUUCACUUCUGGGGGUAGAGCACUGUCAUGGCUAGGGCCGCAUCUAGCGGUACCAACCCAUUGCAAACUCCGAAUACCAGAAAGUGCUAUCACGGGAGACAGACGGCGGGAGAUAAGUUUCGUCGUCGAGAGGGAAACAGCCCAGAUCGCCAGUUAAGGUCCCUAAACACAUCUCAGUGGGAAACGAUGUGGAAAGGCUCAGACAGCCAGGAGGUUGGCUUAGAAGCAGCCAUCCUUUAAAGAUAGCGUAAUAGCUCACUGGUCGAGUCGGUCCGCGCGGAAGAUAUACCGGGGCUCAAGGUGUGUACCGAAACUGCGAAUGCUACCCACAUCUUCGGAUUGUGGUUAGCAUGGUAGGGGAGCGUUCUGUAAGUCCGCGAAGGUAAACCGUGAGGUUUGCUGGAGAUAUCAGAAGUGAGAAUGCUGACAUGAGUAGCGAUAAUGCGGGUGAAAAGCCCGCACGCCGAAAGCCCAAGGUUUCCUGCGCAACGUUAAUCGGCGCAGGGUGAGUCGACCCCUAAGGCGAGGCCGAAAGGCGUAGUCGAUGGGAAUCAGGUUAAUAUUCCUGAACCGAAUGUAACUGCGAUGGGGUGACGGAGAAGGCUAGGUUGGCCGGGUGUUGGAUAUCCCGGUUUAAGCGCGUAGGUUGAGGACUUAGGUAAAUCCGGGUUCUCAUUAAGACUGAGACGUGAUGACGAGCGCUUUGCAAAAAGCGCGAAGUAAUUGAUGCCAUGCUUCCAAGAAAACCCUCUAAGCUUCAGGUUAUAUUCGAUCGUACCCCAAACCGACACAGGUGGGCGGGGUGAGAAUCCUAAGGCGCUUGAGAGAACUCUGGUGAAGGAACUCGGCAAAAUAACACCGUAACUUCGGGAGAAGGUGUGCCUCCGGUAGGUGAUGAGCUUUGCGCUCUGAGCUGAGGGAGGUUGCAAUAAAGAGGUGGCUGCGACUGUUUACUAAAAACAUAGCACUCUGCAAACUCGCAAGAGGAAGUAUAGGGUGUGACGCCUGCCCGGUGCCGGAAGGUUAAAUGAUGGGGUUAGCUGCUUGCAGCGAAGCUCUUGAUUGAAGCCCCGGUGAACGGCGGCCGUAACUAUAACGGUCCUAAGGUAGCGAAAUUCCUUGUCGGGUAAGUUCCGACCUGCACGAAUGGCGUAACGAUGGCCACACUGUCUCCACCAGAGACUCAGCGAAAUUGAACUUGCUGUGAAGAUGCAGUGUACCCGCGGUUAGACGGAAAGACCCCGUGAACCUUUACUACAGCUUCACACUGGACUCUGAACAAGUAUGUGCAGGAUAGGUGGAAGGCUUUGAAGUGGAGACGCCAGUCUCCAUGGAGCCACCCUUGAGAUACCACCCUUGCUUGUUUGGGACCCUAACCGAGGCCCGUUAUCCGGGUCCGGGACCAUGUGUGGUGGGUAGUUUGACUGGGGCGGUCUCCUCCCAAAGAGUAACGGAGGAGCGCGAAGGUACUCUAAGCACGGUCGGAAAUCGUGCGGUUAGUGUAAAGGCACAAGAGUGCUUGACUGCGAGACAGACACGUCGAGCAGGAACGAAAGUUGGUCUUAGUGAUCCGGUGGUUCUGUAUGGAAGGGCCAUCGCUCAACGGAUAAAAGGUACUCCGGGGAUAACAGGCUGAUACCGCCCAAGAGUUCACAUCGACGGCGGUGUUUGGCACCUCGAUGUCGGCUCAUCACAUCCUGGGGCUGUAGCCGGUCCCAAGGGUAUGGCUGUUCGCCAUUUAAAGUGGUACGCGAGCUGGGUUUAGAACGUCGUGAGACAGUUUGGUCCCUAUCUGCCGUGGGCGCCGGAGACUUGAGAGGAGCUGCUCCUAGUACGAGAGGACCGGAGUGGACGUACCUCUGGUGUUCCGGUUGUCACGCCAGUGGCAUUGCCGGGUAGCUAUGUACGGACGGGAUAACCGCUGAAAGCAUCUAAGCGGGAAGCCCCCCUCAAGAUUAUGUCUCCCUCUGGCCACUUUCGAGUGGU
rnacentral:rRNA from 1 species